rnacentral:tRNA from 1 species
GGGGAUUUAGCUCAGUGGUAGAGCACUUGCCUAGCAAGCAGAAGGCUCUGUGUUCGGUCCCCA